AACCAGCACCUCAAGUGGUCAGGAUGAUUAUUGGGCCUAAAGCAUCCGUAGCCGGCUCUGUAAGUUUUCGGUUAAAUCUGUACGCUCAACGUACAGGCUGCCGGGAAUACUGCAGAGCUAGGGAGUGGGAGAAGUAGACGGUACUCGGUAGGAAGUGGUAAAAUGCUUUGAUCUAUCGAUGACCACCUGUGGCGAAGGCGGCUAGCUGGGCCGGAUCUGACGCUCAUCCGCGAAAGCGUGGGGAGCAAACAGG
rnacentral:rRNA from 1 species